CAGGAAGGUGGGGAGAAGACUGCACAGGCAGUUUGUGGGGACAGAGGCAAGUGCCUCUUGCUAUGGAUGGGCUGUGUGAGGCAGGCUCUAGAGCCCCUGCGGCUCUUGUCUGGCCCCGGCAGCAGCUGCCCUCUGUUUAGCUCUGAGCUCCUGGUGUGACCACACUGGGUCCUGACACUGCCCUCUGAGGAGGGACUGCAGCACCCCAAAUGCAGACAGAGAAGUUGGAGGAGGAGAAGAGAAAGAGGACAAAGCCGAAAAAAUAUUGAAGAAGCAAUCUCCUAAACUUGGCAAAAGACAUAAAUGUAAGGAUUUAAGAAGCUGAAUGAACUCCAAACGUUAUAAACCCAAGGAAAUCCACACCAAGACAUAUCACAGUCAGACUUCCAAAAACUAAACAACAACAAACCCCAAUUUUGAAAGCAGCCACGUAACCACCUUCCAAAAAACAUGGAUGUCUCAUCAGAAAGCAUGGAGGCAAGAAAUAAGUGGAACGUUUUUAAGUGCCAUAAGAAAAGAGCUGUCAACCAUAAAUUCUAUACCCAGUGAAACUAUCCCUCAGGAAUGAGGAGGAAUCAAGACCUUCUCAGGUGAAGGGAAAAGUAAGUUUGUUGCCAGCAAACCUACUGUGAAAGGAGGGCCAAAGGAAGUUCUUCUCAUGGAAAGAAAGUGAUAAGGAAGGAAUCUUGAGACAUCAGGAAGAAAGUACAAUGGAAAGAGCAAAACUAUGGGUAAAUACAAUGGACCCCUUCUCUGAAGGUUUCUAAGUUACAUUUGGUGGUUGAAGCAAAAAUUAUAGCAUUGUCGAAUGUCUCAAUGUAUGUAGAAAAAAUAUUUAGGAUAAUUAUAUUAUAAAUGGAAGGGGAAAAGGGACACAAAGAGAGGGAAGCUUUCUACAUGUCACUCGAAAUGGUAAAAUGUUGAUGGCAGUAGACUGUGAUAAGUACAUAUGUAUAAUGCAG
rnacentral:lncRNA from 10 species